rnacentral:rRNA from 1 species
AUUGAACGCUGGCGGCAGGCCUAACACAUGCAAGUCGAGCGGAUGAAGGGAGCUUGCUCCUGGAUUCAGCGGCGGACGGGUGAGUAAUGCCUAGGAAUCUGCCUGGUAGUGGGGGAUAACGUCCGGAAACGGGCGCUAAUACCGCAUACGUCCUGAGGGAGAAAGUGGGGGAUCUUCGGACCUCACGCUAUCAGAUGAGCCUAGGUCGGAUUAGCUAGUUGGUGGGGUAAAGGCCUACCAAGGCGACGAUCCGUAACUGGUCUGAGAGGAUGAUCAGUCACACGGGAACUGAGACACGGUCCAGACUCCUACGGGAGGCAGCAGUGGGGAAUAUUGGACAAUGGGCGAAAGCCUGAUCCAGCCAUGCCGCGUGUGUGAAGAAGGUCUUCGGAUUGUAAAGCACUUUAAGUUGGGAGGAAGGGCAGUAAGUUAAUACCUUGCUGUUUUGACGUUACCAGCAGAAUAAGCACCGGCUAACUUCGUG